rnacentral:ncRNA from 1 species
AUAAAAACUGUGAAAAAGAGGAGUAUGUAAAUAUACUAAAAGAGAGGAAAACUCAUAGCUGGAAGGUUUUCUUAGUCAAUAUCUACAGAAGGUAGCUUUGGAGUUUCUAAGCUGAACUAAUAGUAAGUUUAGACGGUGAGAAUCGUUAAAAUCUAUUAAGAGCCAUAGUAUAUAAUCAUAUCUAUUAUGGAAUUAAGGUGGUAACGCGAGCUUUUCGUCCUUAUU